UGUUCCUGGUUCUCCUGGUUCUCGCUGAGAUCGCAUCGACAGCUGUCUGCCUGGGAAUAAGGCCGCCCGGACUGCUCUUCCCUCCGUUGAGUUAAUUUCUUCAUCUGCCCUGGGCCACAGCUCGAUGGGAGAUAUUUCAUAACCGCUUACAGAAUGAUUCUAGGUCUUCACAAAAUCAAAACCCAUGCUAAGUACAGGAUCCCACGGACUCAGAGAGGAAAUGUGGUCAGUAACCCAUCUGGUGUGAGGUAGAGGCCAAGAUUUCCCCCGAAAUGACACCUAGCACUGAGUACUGCGAAGACUGUCCUUUCCCCACCGCACUGCCAGCUCACCUCUGCCAUAAAUCAGGAAAAAACCGCGAGGAUAAAUUGUGCACCCGCAGUUUUGGCCCUGGGAGUAUAACCUCGACUAAGUUCAUAGCUGACCCUGUCUGAACUCUCAAUACGGAAUCCCAGUUCAUGAGUGAUUAUUUUGCCCUAUAACAGCAUCCUACUAAAAAUAAAGUCGGACUAAUCUUAACUUCAUUGACAGAUAAAGCCAAAGGGGAGAUUGUGUCCUAAACAGAAUAUUCCCAAUUUCUCUGGGUUGGGGCAGGUUUACUCCAAGAUCACCUUUUAUUUUAUUAUUUUAUUCUUUUUUAAAUGGAAGACUUUUUUUUUUUUUUUUUAAGAUUUUAUUUGACAGAGAGAGAAAGAGCAAGCACAAGCAGGGUGAGCAGCAGAGGAAGAGAAGCAGGCUCCCUGCAGGGCAGGGAGCCCAACGAGAUCACCUUUUAGUAACUGAAAAAUGUUGCAGUUAUCCUAACAUUUUUCCAGAGGCAUUAGCAUUAGGCAAGUGAACCACACUCAUCCUUGAUAAAUGAAUUUUCACGUUGACACGUGCACGGGAAGGGUCUGAACAAGGCGUCUUGAAUGAGCCAUCUGAAAUAACCGGAACGUCGCUCUCGCCCAGGUCUCUAAGGCGAUGGGCACUGCGGGCUCCACCAGCCAACGUCCCGCGGGCCGUGGGGGAUCAAAUGGACAGGAGUCGCGGGGAGGACGCUCGGCUACGGCGGCGCGCCGGCCCCACCGGAGCGCUGGAGGAUCGGGGCUCCUCGCCCGAGUGCAACGCCUCC